rnacentral:rRNA from 1 species
AGCGAACGCUGGCGGCAGGCUUAACACAUGCAAGUCGAGCGGGCACUUCGGUGUCAGCGGCAGACGGGUGAGUAACACGUGGGAACGUACCCUUCGGUUCGGAAUAACGCUGGGAAACUAGCGCUAAUACCGGAUACGCCCUUUUGGGGAAAGGUUUACUGCCGAAGGAUCGGCCCGCGUCUGAUUAGCUAGUUGGUGGGGUAAUGGCCUACCAAGGCGACGAUCAGUAGCUGGUCUGAGAGGAUGAUCAGCCACACUGGGACUGAGACACGGCCCAGACUCCUACGGGAGGCAGCAGUGGGGAAUAUUGGACAAUGGGCGCAAGCCUGAUCCAGCCAUGCCGCGUGAGUGAUGAAGGCCUUAGGGUUGUAAAGCUCUUUUGUCCGGGACGAUAAUGACGGUACCGGAAGAAAAAGCCCCGGCUAACUUCGUG